CCCUUAGAUGUUCUGGGCCGCACGCGCGCUACACUGAUGCAUUCAACGAGUUUCUUCCUGGUCCGAGAGGAAUGGGUAACCUUUUGAAAGUGCAUCGUGAUAGGGAUAGACUAUUGCAAUUAUUGGUCUUCAACGAGGAAUUCCUAGUAGACGUAGUUCAUCAGACUGCAUCGAUUACGUCCCUGCCCUUUGUACACACCGCCCGUCGCUCCUACCGAUUGAAUGCUCAGGUGAGCCAUUCGGACUUUCAUCAUGCUGGUUUCCAGUUUUGAUGAAGGAAAGUCUUGCGCACCUUAUCAUUUAGAGGAAGGAGAAGUCGUAACA
rnacentral:rRNA from 1 species